ensembl:lncRNA
CACAGUAGAAAUAGAAUGUCUAACAUUACACAUCAAUGGUGUAGAUAAAUGUACUACAGAAGCAGUGAAUAACUUUGUCUGAUGACUCUAAUGUGAAGGGGGGGUCGAAUGAGACAGGAAACAGUCACCACUGCCACGAGUUGACCAUGCUUUCACCAUGCGCGUUCACAGGGGAAGGACCUGUGUUCCACCGGUCAUCUGAAGUCAUUCUAUUUCUCCGGUUGGAACGUUAUUCAAGAUAUAUGUAAACAACAUUCUAAAGAUUGAUUCAGUACAUCGUUUGACAUGUUUCUACUGACUGUUACGGAACUCUUGGACAUUUCGUCACGUUAUAGUGGACGUGCUUUGUGACUUUGGAAUUGUUUACCAAACACACUAACUAAAGUAGCUAAUUGGACAUAAAUAACGGACAUUUCGAACAAAUCAAACAUUUAUUGUGGACCUGGGAUUCCUAGGACUGCAUUCUGAUGAAGUUAUUCAAAGAUCUAUCCACUGCCUUCGACACAGUGAACCAUCAGAUCCUCCACCACUCUCUCAGGGCUGAAUGCCUCAGGCUUUGCACACUCUUGGAUUGCAUCCUACCUGGCAGGGCGCUCCUACCAGGUGACGUGGAGAGGAUCUGUGUCUGCACCACAUACUCUCACUACUGGUAUUCCCCAGGGCUCGGUACUAGGCCCUCUCCUCUUCUCUCUAUACACCAAGUCACUCGGCUCCGUCAUAUCCUCACAUGGUCUCUCCUAUUAUUGCUAUGCAGAUGACACUGAACUACUCCCCCCCCCACCCACCCUUCUGACACCCAGGUGGUGACACACGUCUCUGCGUACCUGGCAGAUAACUCAGCUUGGAAGUCGGCCCAGCACCUCAAGCUCAUUUUCAACAAGAUGGAGCUGAUCUUCAUCCUCAGGAAGGCCUGCCAGCUCCAAGACUUCUCUAUCAAGGUUGACAACUCAGCGGUGUCCACCUUCCUGAGUGCAAAGAACCUUGGCGUUACCCUGGACAACACCCUGUCAUUCUCUGCAAACAUCAAAGCAGUUACUCGCUCUUGCAGGUUCAUGCUCUACAACAUCAAUAGAGUAUGACCCUACCUCACACAGAAAUCGGCACAGGUCCAAGUGCAGGCAGUCAUCUUUCGUCUGAACCAGCUUCCCCCUGAAGCUAGGACAGCAGAGUCCCUGCCCAUCUUCCGAAAACAUCUGAAACCCUAACUUGUCAGAGUAUCUUUGAAAACUACCACCCCCCUUUAGGAUGGGACCCUUUUUUUUCAAUUUUCGCCUAAAAUGACAUGACCUAAAUCUAACUGCCUGUCGCUCCAGACCUGAAGCAAGGAUAUGCAUAUUCUUGAUACCAUUUGAAAGGAAACACUUUGAAGUUUGUGGAAAUGGGAAAUUAAUGUAAGAGAAUAUAACACAUUAGAUCUGGUGAAAGAUAAUACAAAGAAAAAAAUGUUUUUUUGUAUUGUUUUUGUUCCAUCAUCUUUGAAAUGCAAGAGAGAGGCCAUUAUCUGACUUAGGACUCUAGGUACAAUUUAUUUCUUGGCCACUAGAUGGCAGCAGUGUAUGUGCAAAGUUUUAGAGUGAUCCAAUGAACCAUUGCAUUUAUGUUCAAAAUGUUGUAUCAAGUCUGCCCAAAUGUGCCUAAUUGGUUUAUUGAUACAUUUUCAAGUACAUAACUGUGCACUCUCCUCAAACAGUAGCAUGGUAUUCUUUCACUGUAAUAGCUACCGUAAAUUGGACAGUGCA